rnacentral:lncRNA from 1 species
UUUUUUUUUCCUUGGGGAUUCUCCUUUCUCCUGCCAAACUGACUUGCACCUUCUCGAUAAUUUCUCUUCCCCUCGUUUUUUAUACUCUUCUCCCUGCUUCCAAACCCUGUGUCUGUGUGUUUCAGUACUAUCACAACCUCUGCUAAAAAUAGAUCUUUUUAUAUACCCUUCCUCCUCUCUGACCCCAUCCAACACCCCUUGUUAAGUAAUAUCAUACGUGCCUUUUUGACCACUAGCGCAGCUGCCUGGAUCUUUUUACAGAGCUGUCCAUGGUGGUUCUGAAGCUUGUUUCCUCAACAGCAAGAUCCAGUAGUGUGUUUGAAUAGUUAGCAGGGAACCGUCUUAAACCCAGGGCAAGAAACGUAAAGUCAUUUGGCUGUCCCUUAUCUCUAAGGGCACCUGAUGCAUAAGUGGACUAGAGAAAGGAAAGAAAGAAAAACCUCCAAAGACCUACAGAUCAUCUUGCUGGCAGGCAGGUCAAGCUUUCUAUGGAUUAAGGCAGAAUUGUGGCUCACAGAGAUGGAAUGUGAUUGGUAUUUUCAGCAGCAUUUUCAUGUCCCAGAAAAACUGCAGCAACUGAACAAAGGGAGCAACAUACUCAACAUCUUUAGAUUUCGUCCUUGA